rnacentral:rRNA from 1 species
AUGGAAACCAGAUCCCUGCGCCAAGCGCGAAUCCGCCUCAUCGCCAUGGAUCCAUCCGUCCAGUCGUUUCUGGAGCGCCUAGAGACCACUCUCAAGGAGCAUACCGCCGCGAUUCAUGCCUCCAACUCCAAGAUCGACGACCUCGUGGCGUGGCGCCCGGAUCUUGAGCGGCGCGUCACCGAUCUGUCCGAAGCGGUGGCGGUCCUCCAACGUACCUCGCUGUCGCCGCCGCCUCCGGAGAUGGCGCUCCACCAGGCGCCUUCGUCGAGCCUACAAUCGCCUGCGACAGCCGGCAUCCACACCAGGGCCGCGUCUGGCACGGCAGCAACUUUGCAAGGGCCCGAAGGCCACGGCGUCUACAACAUCCAACGGGGGCCACCGGCGGUGUCCUUCCAGACGCCGCCACCGCCCCCGGCAAACGGUCAGUACGACGCCCCCGCCCCCUCACCUCCUGCUCUUUCCCCAUUCGCGCACGCUAGCCAGCUGCUCAGCGGCCUCGGCCAAGCGCACCCCUCCGUCCAGUUCCCACAGUUCACGGGCGACAACCCGAAACUAUGGAAAACCCUUUGCGAGCAGUAUUUCACCAUGUUUGCUAUUCUGCCGUCGUUUUGGGUACCCAUGGCCACGCUGAACUUCUCUGGUUCCGCGUCAAUUUGGCUACAAUCCAUUCAGAAACGGCCUGCAGAAUUCGAUUGGGAGUCAUUCACUGCCCUUUUGUGCACACGCUUUGGCCGUGAUCGACAUCAAACGUUGAUCCGUCAGUUUUACACUGUUCGACAAACAACUACAAUCGGAGAUUACAUUGAGCAAUUUGAGUCCAUUAUUAAUCAUCUCAAUUUAUUUCCUCACUCGUUUUGUGGAGGGACUCCGGAAGGACAUCCGAGCUGUGGUGUUAGUUCAAAGGCCACCGGACCCGGACACUGCUUGUGCCCUGGCGCUGCUCCAGGAAGAAGUGGCUGA